UCUUGUUAUUAUUGAUUUGUAAGAGUUCUUUUAUUUUAGAUACAACUCCCUUAUCAGAUAUAUUGUUUGCAAAUAUUUUUUUCCCAUUGUGUGUGUUGAUGAUGUCCUUCAAAGCGUGAAGGUUUUAAAUUUUUAUUAAGUCCAGUUUAUCCAUAUUUUUCUUGUGGUUUUGGUGGCAUAUCUAAGAAGCCAUUGCUAACAUAAGGCCACGAAGACUUGUAUCUGUAUUUCUUCUUUCCUCUUGUAAGAGUUUUAUGGUUUUACCUCUUACAUUUUGGCUUUUUGUCCAUUUAGAAUUGAUUUUUGUAUAUGGUGUGAUGUAGGGGUUCAACUUCAUUGUUUUACAUGAUAUCCGGUUGUCCCAGCACCAUUUAGUGAAAAGACUAUUCUUUCCCCACUACAUUGUCUUCAUCCUCUUGUCAAAAAGCAAUUGACUAUACAUGUGAGGGUUUAUUUCUGGACUCUGAAAUUCUGUUCCAUUGAACUGUCUGUCUAUCCCUAUACAAGUACCACACUAUCUUGAUCACUGUGGUUUUGUGGUGAGUUUUGAAAUCAGAAAGUGUGAAUCCUCCAACUUUGUUCUUCUUUUUCAAAAUUGUUUUGUGUAUUCUGUGUCCCUUGCAUUUCUAUGUGAAUGCAGGGACCGUGUUGAGACUGUAGAUCAAUUUGGGGGGUAUUGCCAUUUUAACAGUAUUAAAAAUCUUCUCAUCCAUGAACAUGGAUUACCUAUGUCUUCUUUAAUGUCUUUCAACAGUGUUUUGUGGUUUUCAGAGAAUAAAUUUUUCACUGCUUUUGUUAAAUGCAUUCCUAAAUAUUUUAUUCUUGUGAUGCUAUUGUAAAGGGAAUUGUUUUCUUAAUUUUAUUUUUGGGUUGUUCAUUUCACAUCCUUUUUAAAAUGUGGUCCCUGGAACCAUCAGACUAGCACUGAACACAGUGGGAUGUUCACUUCAAACUUGUGGAUAUGAUUCUGUACUCUAACCUCAGACAAAGUUAAGCUUUUUGUGGAAGAGGUGAGUUGGGGUUGGGUGGUUGGCACACUAACAGCACACCAUUGACUCAUGUCAACAAAACUCCUCACACCUUUUUAAGUCUUCUGCUGCUAAGCCAUGCCUUCCUUAUUCUAUACCUGGGCAAGUAGCUCUUGGGUGCCAAAAAUAGCACCUUACCCUUUCCAUUGCAUGUUCUUGGAUCCAGGCCAUUGCUUCUAAUCUAAGAGUGAGAAUGAUUUGGAUGCUGAUUCUGACCCUGGGUCAUGACGUCUUUGUUACCAGCCUAUUCAUGAAUGCAAUAAAGAUGGCCUCUUUAUUUUAAUUCAAGCCAGUAAUAAAAAUGUCCCAUGGGACUUUGCAAAGGAUAGAGGCUUGAAGUCCUGAAUUCAGAACCUCUCUCUGGGAACAUUAAAUUGUAGCCUCUGAAGAACAGUAUCCAACGAGUCCCCAAGCCAUCCAGUGGUCCACACACCAAAUUUAUAUCAACCCCAUUGAACUUACCAGAUGCCCUACUGAAUUCAUAAACUCUUGAUCUCCCUCAUUUCUACCGGUUUCUUAAUCCUGUCAAGGAAGGAAACAAGAUUCAUUUGAAAGAGUAUUUUAUCUGUGAACCCACAGUGGGUCCUGGUGCUUCCUGCUUUCUGUAUGUUCAUAAACCACAAAUCCCCUCUAACAAGCCAUUGCUGAAUUGUUUUCAUCAGCCAGUUGUUCUCAUAUCGUAAGAGAAUUAACCUCAGAUGGAGAAGCUGAGGAUCACCGAAGGGAAGGUCAGACAUAAGACUGGUAAGUGUGAAGGGAAGACUAGAACCCAAAGCUUAUGGUGACGUGUCUUGUGCUUCUUCCACUGGUAAUGGAGAGAGACAGUUCCCAUAUGGACACUUGAGCAAGUGUGGAUGUGGGAAGAAACUCAGUUAUCCACAUCCCAUGUCUUCAGAUAAACCCAAGUGUACUACUUACUUUACACAAAGUGAAAUACUACUGCUCUAUACAAAGUGAUAUAAGUGCCUUAGUGAACACCAGAAGACAGGCACAGCACACAAAGUUGUCUUUUAAAUCACAUUUGUGAUUUCAUAUUAUCUCAUUUAAUUCGGAUUCCUCUUGGGCCUGGAUUAUCUGGAUUGCAUUAAUUCAACAAGCACCUACUCAUGUUUUUUCAGGCCCCAUGGCAGACUCUGAUUCUGAGCUGUAAAGGGCAUAGUCCCUACACUGUGGGAGCUCCCUGUCCGACAGGGAAGGUUGACAGGAUGCCGGAGACCAGGCCAGGCAUCCUCUGCCUCUGGGGAUGGCAGCUGAGCAGGAAGAACAAUGGUUUCGGGAAUGUGUAUAGUCGCUCCUCUGUCAGGCGCCAGAUGAUACGAAUGUGACAGAAAGAAUGGCUGAUUUGGAGCUGGAAGGAAAGGGUCCUUUGGAGCAGAUGCAGUAGCGGGGACAGGCCUGGAGAGGCGCCAGAGAGCAAGAAGCCGUCUAGGCGCUGGCACAGCAAAUAUUGGAACCGUCAAUCUUCUGAAUCCAGGAGUGAGUGGGUUUCCCCUGCGGACAGUCCCCUGUGUCGCUGAAAUGUGUUGCUGAAACAGCAGCAGUGGCAGCAUUGCUGACGUCAGUUGAGCACUUCCUGUGUGCCAGGCUACUCAUCCUACUGGGCUCUCCCAUGGAAUCCUCAUCUUGCACGGAGAGCACAAAUGCUAUUUUCAGCCUUCUUUUUAGAAACAAGGAAGACUAAAGCUUUGAGAAAUUUAGAAAUGUGGUCAAACUCAAGUUAGAAAGAGGCAGAUCUGGCUUUGAAUGCAGGUGUAUCUGACUCCUGAGCUUUUGCCUUUAUAAGGGUUCAAGGUGCUUUCCUCUUUAUGCAAAGGUGGGUAAUGGAACCCCUUCACCAGAGGGCUUCAGUCAUGAGUAGCCCCAGUGGUGGCUUGUGCUGGCGAUGCUGGUGACUUUACCCCCAAAUAACUGUGCCACAUCAACACGUAGAGUGUCAGGAAAAGCCACUGCUCCUGAGCCAGGUGCCGGGAAGUGACUCCACUGAGUCCCCACUUAAGUCCUUUGAUGUGCCUCAUCCUCCCCCUUCCCUGCCUCUAGAGAUGGGCAGGUGUCCCAGGAAGCAGGACCCCAGGCCAGCUGCUGCUGGAGCCACAGAGCAGCCCUCUGGGAAGAGGAAGGAGUGGAGGAAGACAGGUCUGUGGAUGGAGGUCCCCCCCAACUUGCCUCCCCCUCCCCACUAGCCACUGGGGUCAUGAUACUGAAUUGUUCCCUGGUCAGUGGCACCAUCACUGACCUUACGGUAGCCUACUGUAGGAAAGUCUGAACAUAGGAACGGCGGUGCAGGGCCCCUGUAAAUAAGCCCUGUACAGGAAUGUGAGCUGUGGAGCAUCAGAUGUGCAAAAGUCAGAGACCACCUGGAUCUGAAAGGCUCUCUGUCUCUCAAAGGAGGGACUCUUCAACUGUGAUUUGAAUAAAUAUGGCAGCACAAUCGUGGAUCUGGCCAUAAUUACGCCAGACUGUUGUGGGGAACAGGAUGCAUGCUGGCAUUAAUAUGUUGAACCAUGAAAAUCAGGUUCUGGAAAUAAACAGGUUUAAGGAAAUGCUGUGUUGAAGUCCCACAGGUCUCUUAACUGCAGUACUCCUUAGGGCCUCCGUGUGCUCGCGGGGCAAUUGAAAUGCCCACCAUGGAAGUCAGCCUCGUAGCUUGUUAAUCCACACACGCACAAACCAGACUGCAAAACAGUCAUGGUCAUGUGGAUUUUUACUGAGGAUUUCUUGGGGUGACCAACACAGGAGGAAGUGACAUCACCCAGCUUGCAUCUAAACUUACUAAAUUCUCUGAGGUUUCCUGGCUGCCCCCUCCCCGCCCCUGUUCCCCCACCAGAGUUUUACUCCCAGUGGCAACUAAGACAUCUGUUCUCACAGCCAAGCUCCUUCUCCACCGUCUACCUCCAUUAUGGGCCUCAGCAUUCAUUCCUCAUCAGGAAAGCUGAAGGCCCCUUCAUCAAACUCUUAUAUUCCUCCAAAAGUCCUGGGGACUUUCAGAUAACCCUGAAACCUUCAGUCUUUCCAAAGAAAAAGCUGGCAUUGUCUUGGAACCCAGGGGACCAGCAUCCUCAGAAACUAACUUGGGAAAUUAUCCCCUAGAGACAUCAUCAGAGAUGGCCAGAGGCUAAAACCUGUUAAGACUGUAGCAGGCAGGACACACUUGCCCAGCAUUGCGGACUGAUCUUCCCGCCCUCCAGAGAGCUGGGCUGAGGAAGAUCCCAGGAUGAAGUCUGGGCGCAGUCUGCAUGUCCUGAUUGAAGAAUGAUUAUCAGCCGAGGCUGUGAAUGAGGAGGCGUUGGUAGCCAGAGGGCUAGGAAUCUGCCAUACCUGGACUACAGCUUAGUCUAGGAAACAGCCCAGAAUUGGGACUGAACGGCUGCAGUGUGAUCCUUGCUCUGCUCCAGACUCACGGUGUAUUGUCAUAAUGACAGUUUACCUCUGUGAGCCUCACUUCCUUCCAAGUGGCACAGACACCCCAGAACCCUUAUCACAUAGAGAAGUGGGGACGAUCCACUAACCUAGGAGCAAAUGGCCUGAAGGAGUAGACUUGCCUUCACAUAGAUCAAAUGUGUCAUAAGAUAGAAGCAUUGCUACAUCAACAGGGCAUGCUCAUCAGGCUCUUGGCACGGUAUGUGUGGGACACUCAAUCCAAUUAACUUGAGGAUGUUUGGAUACAGAGACUGUUUACAAAGAUAUGGGCAGGGUAUCAGGAGGACCAGGGCUGAUAGGAGCUCUAAGCCUGCAGGGGUAAGAGGGGAAAGCAGGUCCAGGGACUCAGAGAGUCCCUUGGAGAGGGCUGCUUCAAAAGGAGCUAUGGCCUUUAGGUUGAGGGACACAGCUAGCUCAUGGUAACCCCAUGGAAGGGAGCCAGAGAUUUCAUGUCUGGCCUCUCUCCUCUCUCCCUGUAGGCCCUGCACUUGCUGAGCCCACUGAGAAGCCAGAGAGCCCCUGAAUGUAGCUCCCUUGGCAGAGAGCAGGGCAGAAAUUUACUCCCUUCCAGUUCUGGUGGCCAGAAGUUCAAAAUCAGGGUGUUGGCAGGGCCACAGUCCCUCUGGAGGCGCCGGGCAUUCCUUGGCUCGCAUCUGCAUCACUCCAGUCCCCACCUCUGUCUUCACAUCACCUUCUCCUCUCCUCUGUGUGUCUCUCCUGUCUGCGUCUUCUGCAAAGACACUUGCCAUUGGAUUUAUAACUGGGUAACCCAGGACGAUCUCCUUUUCUCGAAAUCCUUAAUUACAUCUGCAGAGAUUCUUUUCCCGCAUAACAUUCACAGGUUCCAGGGAUUUGACGUGGAUAUAUCUUUUGGGGGGCCAAGGGUCAAUCCACUGUACCAGCCUUCCACAUCUCACCUUUCUCCCUGAUGUGUUGAGAUGGAAGGGAACCCUCUGUCUCCCAAUGGCCUCCCGGAACGAUUGCCCCUUAGCACUGUGAGCUAGAGCACCUUUGCAUAUCUGCUUUAAGUAGAUACUGAUCCUUCAGAAGGGGUGGUGAGGGGUUGGGGUGCACAUUUUACCUUGUGUCAGAAAAUGAUUCACAUCAUGGCCUGUGGCAAGUACUGUGUCUUCUGUGAGCUCUGUUUCACAUCUUUGAGAUGAAGUAGUGAGAUCAAAUGCCUGCAACAGGCCAGGUGAGGUGGCUCAUGCCUUGUAAUCUCAGCACUUUGGGAGGCCGAGGUGGGCAGACUGCUUGAGCUCAGGAGUUUGAGA